ensembl:lncRNA
GAAGAAUGUAACCAUAGCAACCUGUCGUUUAGCGCCGACCAUCUCUUGUACGUUUCAGAAUUUAAGUCUGUGAGAAUCUCCAUUCGUAAGUAGAACUGUCUUGCUGGGAACAUUUUGUUCUUUACUGUAAAGUAAGUCUGAAGACAGGCAGUCGGAUGGCUCUGAACAAGGUGUUCAGGUGAAGAAGACGCUCGGCAACCGUGAAAGGUGCAAGUGCAUCCGCAGAUCUAAAGCUCUAUCUAGCAGUACUCAGUUACUGCUCCAGUGUCAUGCCUGCCUGCUAUCAUGUUCUCCUCCAGGAUGGUCACAGACUCUGCACUUCUGGGCCCCUGAAACGUCUAUACAUUGCCUUGCUCGGUAAUAUACAAAGAAGAAAUACAACUAUGCAGACUCAAAUAUCUGCACUGGACUGCCCCACAAUCUGGUGGAUAUCUUCAUCUCAGUCAGCAAAGCGCUUACUCCUCCAGAUCACUGAGAUAACUGAAAUUUGGAGCAUGCUUGUGCCCAAUUCAUAGUCAGACAUGAGAGAACAAAAAAUCUUCAACUCUUCGGAAACUCGGGGCUGCCCACACUUUCAGCAGAUGUCUUCAGUCCUGUGUCUCCUUAAUAAGUUAAUGGAUCCUAUUAAGUUCUCAUACUAU